UACAGAGGGUGCUAGCGUUGUUCGGAAUCAUUGGGCGUAAAGGGCGUGUAGGCGGUUUGUUAAGUCAUGUGUGAAAUCCCUCGGCUCAACCGGGGAACGACGCAUGAAAACUGGCAAGCUAGAGUACCAAAGAGGGGGGUGGAAUUCCCGGUGUAGCGGUGAAAUGCGUAGAUAUCGGGAGGAGCACCUGUGGCGAAGGCGGCCCCCUGGUUGGAUACU
rnacentral:rRNA from 1 species